rnacentral:pre_miRNA from 1 species
CAGGAGGUGGAGGUUGCAGUGAGCCGAGAUAGAGCCAUUGCACUCCAGCCUGGACAACAGAGUAAGAGACUCGGUCUCAAAAAAUAAUAUUUAUUUAUUUAUUUAUUUAUUUAUUUAUUAUUUAGAGACAGAGUUUUACUCUUGUUGCCCAGGCUGGAGUGCAAUGGUGCUAUCUUGGCUCACUGCAACCUCCGCCUCCCG